rnacentral:rRNA from 1 species
UACAGAGGGUGCAAGCGUUGCUCGGAUUUACUGGGCGUAAAGCGUACGCAGACGGUGAGAAAGGUCGGAUGUGAAAGCCCCGGGCUCAACCCGGGAACUGCAUCCGAAACCAUCUCGCUAGAGUAUGGGAGAGGGAAGCGGAAUUCCUGGUGUAGAGGUGAAAUUCGUAGAUAUCAGGAGGAACACCUGCGGCGAAGGCGGCUUCCUGGCCCAUUACUGACGUCAGGUAC